rnacentral:lncRNA from 1 species
UUACACGCCGGCGGCGGCGAACCUGCUACACGAGGCACGGAGGCAUAGGCGAGAGGACUGGGAGAGCGCGCAUGGAUUGAGUUCGGAGAGGUGGUCGGUUGACGUCGCCCCUGCUCGACCAAGGUACUGAACACUGUAAAUCUUGGCUUGAUGUGUUCUGUUCAUCUUUAUUCUGUAGAAUCGAUCCUUAUUUCUGUCAUAACUGUAGAAUCGAACAUGAAUAGGAAUGGGGACAGUCCCUUUUCCGGAAACAUGACAAACAUGAUUGCAUCUUCUUCAUUAGUGUUUCUUCGUUGGCCAUAACUUUAUAAAGAAAACGUGUAACAGGUUUUUAUUCUUCACAUAUAUCUAAGCGUUGCAGCUUAGCUGUUAGAAUCAUGAACCCAACGUUUCAUUUGGAAUAGUGCAGAGUAUAUAAGCUAAUAACAUGUAGGAUAGGAAUUCAAUUACAAACUUGCAAACCAUUCUUUUUCAGGGUAUAGUUCUCCAGGAUAACGAGCUGAAAGGGGGUCCUGAAAAUAUGUGCAUUCGAAUGCAACUGUGACCAAGCAACUUUCACUCACUAUGAUGUGCGAGGUUCUUGGCCAGCGGUCAAGGGCUGUUGGAUCUCCUCGAUCUGCUGCACGACAUCAGACAUUGUAGGCCUUGAGUUGGCAUCUUGACUGCAACAGUUCAUGGCGAGCUCUAGAAAUCACGUCAUGCACUCCUCUGCCCCGUCCUUCUGCUCCCGCCCUAUGAGCUCCACAUCGAACACCUCCGCCAUCUGCUUCUCACGUACAACGGAACAUACCCACCGUGCCAAAUCUAACCCUCCUCAUUCUGCGUGCUCUUUGCUGGAUCCUUGCGGGUGAGAACCUCCAGCAAUAGGAUGCCGAAGCUGUACACGUCGGCUUUCUGGGAGACCGACCUAUUGUCGGUGACCUCAGGCGCGCGGUAGCCGGAGGCAUUGGAAUACAUGCCAAGUGUCAUCAGGCCGUGCUCCGACACACAUGCAUCAUGGGUGCCGGUGAGCAGGAUGUUGGAAGACUUGAUGUUGCCAUGGCAGCUCAAUGGUCCAGCCAAGUGGAUAGCCGCCACGCCGCGGGCAGCAGCUAGUGAGAUGGCUGACCGCUGCUCCCAGUCCGGCGGAGCUGUGCCAGGUAUUCGGUAACCUAGUAGAUUCACACAUCAUGGAUUAGUGAUGCACCAAAAACAUUAGAAAUUAUAGAAGGAAGUAUAUAUGAUAGUGUUGUACAGUAUAUAACAUUACCGUGGAGUAUUUUUGCAAGGCUACCCAUGUGGAUCCUAUGGUACACUAGCAACUUCUCAUCCUUGCAAUAGUAAUACCACCGGAGUGGAGCAAUGUGUAUGUUCUGGAUGGCACCAAUCAGCAUGAUUUGCUGCUCAAAGUCCGCCUUUGGCAAGUCUACAUCCUUCAACCUCUUGGUCACCAGCUCAUAUCCAUUCUCAAGUGUUGUGCUGUAUGUUGUCCCAACUGUACCCUUGCCCAUAAUUUAAGCUGAUGCCCGAAGCAGGUCUUCCAGCUCGAAAUAUUGGUCUGUCGCUGUCGACCUACCGAUAGAAGUUCCCAGGUAUGGGGUACUGCUACUGCUUUCCUGUGAUAGUCCCGCUUUGGAUGGAGCAACGGUUCCGGUUUGGGGUGCAUUGCCAUUGCUUUCUUGUGAUGGCGUCGUUUCAGCUGGAGCUACAACUCCCACGUUUAGGGUACUGCUACUGCUUGUUUCGGCAGCCGUUUUAGUUGGGUCCACAAUUCCCGUUUUUGGGGUACUGCCAUUGGUUUCUUGUGAAGGCGUUGUUUCAGCUGGAGCUACAGUUGUCACCUUUCGGCCACCGCUACUGCUUUCCAGCGAUGGUGUUUCGGCUGGAUCUUGCUUAUUUUUCCUUACCCAAGAAAACAGAGCUAGUCUUUCUUGUACCUGAUGUGGAGCCUUCCUAAGUUUGCGAAGACGUUCUGCAACUUCUGACAUCUCAGGGCGUUUGUCGUGUUCCAUCCUCAAGCAUUUACCUGUCAACUUAGCAAUUUCUUCGAUAGUCUUCAUGUCGCUCGAUGUUGCAAUUUCAGGAUCAAACAUCUCCCUCACCCUCCUAAACCCUUUUGAAAGAGAUUGAAUAAAACUUUCAACCAAGCCAAUUUCCCCAUCCUCUAUUCUUGCUUUUUUUCUGGUUAUCAGUUCCAGGAGCACAAUUCCAAAACUAUAAACAUCACUCUUUGCUGUGAGGCGGCCAUUCUGCGCAAACAGAGGGUCCAUGUAACCUAUACUUCCUAUCACAUUUAGAGUAUAUAUAGUAUUUUCAGUAUUGACCAGUCUUGAUAUUCCAAAGUCUGAUAUUUUUGCACCGAGUCCAUCAUCCAGAAGUAUAUUAGCAGGCUUGAUAUCACCAUGAAUGACCUGAGUAUACAUUUGUGAAUGCAUAUAGGACAAUGCUUCUGCACAUUCAAUGGCAAUUCUUAGCCGUGUAUCCAGAGCGAUUGGAAUACUACCCUGGUGAAGGAUGUUACUCAGAUUUUCUUUAGGAAUAUACUCUGUGACCACCAUUAGGGCAUUUUCAUCUACACAGUAGCCGACUAAUCUGACUACGUUCUUGUGAUUGAUCUCAUAGUGGACGAUCAACUCUUUGGCAAAAUUUUCCUUAACAUUGUGGAUAAACUUCUUGACUGCAACCAUAGUGUUGUCCUCAAGGACCCCUUCAUAAACUUCUCCAAAGCCACCUCUACUGAGAACAGUUUUAUAGUUGUUCGUAAAUCUUCUUAUCUCAUCUUCUGUAAAACAUUUCACAUUAUGAUUGCUGUGUGCAAUCCAUCUCGAUCUAUGCUCUUCCUGGAUAAGCUGUGUUACUCUAUUUUCUGGAUGAUCCAUCUUUGGAAGUAGCAGGGAACUUAUUCAAUGUUGGAGGACCGUUUGACCUAGGAACAGUUUUGGUAGUGCUCAAAGUUAAAUUUAAUCCAACUUAUCAAUGAGGAAACAAAUAAACAGAGUAUGUAAAAUGCUUAAUUUCCUUUGAUUAACCAUCAAUGAAUUGGUAGGAAUCCGUGAAAUCCCAUUGGGCAAUGGGCAACAUAUAUAGAUAUUUAUACUCCAUUAGAGUUCAUUUAGAAACAAAUACCUCCUCUAGCUGCCGAAGAUAACCAAUCUAGAUUGAUAUUAUGCCGCUUUAGAUAUUCAGACAACACUGCAGAGAAUCAUUUUGCGUUUGUUCAUGGAGUACAUCGCUAGAGCAAGUACUACUUACAAGGGAGUAUAAUUAAUACUUAUUGUUCAGUUCUUGUUCUGGAUUUUGGGCAGCAGCUUCAUGGUACGAUCUGAGUAAUUCUACAUAAUUGCUUCCUUACAGGGACAAUGAAAUGUUUCGAACAUGAAGAAUUUAUGACCCAAGCUGCUAAUACCUCGGGCGAGAAAAACAAGACAAACUACAGAGGUUGAAAUGUGGUACAGAGACAUGGAGAUGGGCAAAGGUUGAACCAAACAUACCACUUGAGAAUGGAAGCCGUAACAUAGCACGAUCAAUGGAGCCUUCUUUUGCUAGUGGUCGCACAGAUCGCCAUGAAUGGAUCUAGAGGAAAGAACAGGUAGCGUAUAGCUAAUCUAACCUUAUUACUCUAUUUCAUGGAUUGUCAUCACCGAUGGUCAACUCCCCGAACAUGAAUG